rnacentral:rRNA from 1 species
UACGGAGGAUGCAAGCGUUAUCCGGAUUUAUUGGGUUUAAAGGGUACGUAGGCGGAAUAUUAAGUCAGUGGUGAAAUCUUGCAGCUUAACUGUAAAACUGCCAUUGAUACUGAUGUUCUUGAGUGUAGUUGGAGUAGAUGGAAUGUGUUGUGUAGCGGUGAAAUGCAUUGAUAUAACACAGAACACCAAUCGCGAAAGCAGUCUACUAAGCUAUUACUGACGCUGAGGUACGAAAGCAUGGGGAGCGAACAGG